rnacentral:rRNA from 1 species
AUUGAACGCUGGCGGCAUGCCUUACACAUGCAAGUCGAACGGCAGCACGGGGGCAACCCUGGUGGCGAGUGGCGAACGGGUGAGUAAUGCAUCGGAACGUGCCCAGUAGUGGGGGAUAACCGGUCGAAAGACUGGCUAAUACCGCAUACGACCUACGGGUGAAAGCGGGGGACCGUAAGGCCUCGCGCUAUUGGAGCGGCCGAUGUCUGAUUAGCUAGUUGGCGGGGUAAGAGCCCACCAAGGCGACGAUCAGUAGCUGGUCUGAGAGGACGACCAGCCAAACUGGGACUGAGACACGGCCCAGACUCCUACGGGAGGCAGCAGUGGGGAAUUUUGGACAAUGGGCGCAAGCCUGAUCCAGCCAUGCCGCGUGCGGGAAGAAGGCCUUCGGGUUGUAAACCGCUUUUGGCAGGAACGAAACGGCGACCUCUAAUACGGGUCGUUAAUGACGGUACCUGCAGAAUAAGCACCGGCUAACUACGUGCCAGCAGCCGCCGUAAUAC